UACGUAGGGUGCUAGCGUUGUCCGGAUUUAUUGGGCGUAAAGGGCUCGUAGGCCGCGUGUCGCGUCGGGAAUGAAAGCCCGCUGCUUAACGGCGGGUUGGCUUCCGGUACGGGCAUCGCUGGAGUGCGGCAGGGGAGACUGGAAUUCCUGGUGUAGCGGUGGAAUGCGCAGAUAUCAGGAGGAACACCGGUGGCGAAGGCGGGUCUCUGGGCCGUUACUGACGCUGAGGAGCGAAAGCGUGGGGAGCGAACAGG
rnacentral:rRNA from 1 species